GGCACUGCUGUGGGGAGCUACCAUCCGCACCCCAGCACAACAAGCACUCCCGCCCUUGUUUUCAGAAUCAGCCUCAACCGGCUGACUGGAUUCCGGAGGCAGGGCCCCUGCUUGCCCCCCUCGCUGGUCCCAGGAGAAAGAUUUGGAGACACAAAGACAGGGAGACUCGCAGGGAAGGUGGACCUCUGGAAAAGUUGCAGAGACUGAGGGGCUGCAGCCACGAGCCAAGAGACACCGAGGACUGCUGGCAGCCACCAGGAGCUAGGCCUGAGGGGCAGGACAGUGUCUCCUUCAGUGCCUGAAGGAAACCCACCAAUUGUGCCACACCUUGAUCUCCGACUUCUGGCCUCCUUAUCUGUGAGAGCCCACAUUUCUGUUGUGUUUAUGCCAUGGGAUUUUUUGAGCAGACGACUCCCUCGAAAUCUACUCCUAAAGCUGUGUUGUCAUGUUUCUGUGCAGCAAAGAUAAGUAUGAAGGAUGCUACAGCUUUCAUUAUAUUAGUUAAAAAUAGGAAGAUCCCAAGUGUCCAUCGAUGGCAGAAUAGAUACAUAAAUGCAGGUCCAUCCACUCAAGGGAAUGCUGCUCAGCAGCGGAAGAGGAGGGAAGGUGACGUGAGCAACACGGAUGAGCUCAGGGACACGUUGAGCAGCAUGAGGCAGGCACAAAAGGGCACAUACCCACGACCCACUUAGAAUAGAAUAGGUCACACAGAACUACGGGGGUAAAAGGAAUCCCAGUGGUCCCCUGGCCUGGGGGAUGGAAUUGACUGAGGGGCUCAGGAAGCCUCUGAGAGCGCUGGAGGAAUUCCAUGUUGGAUUUUGGUACAUAGAUGGAUACAUCAUAAAAAUCCACUCCGCUGCACCCUUAAGAUUUGCUCAACUUGAUGGAGAAAUCUGAUACCUCCGUAAGAGGUAAAAAUGAAAACCUGGGGAAGUCAAGAACUAAAAACCACUGGGUAGUGUUUUCUGGGGGCAUUUGCAACUUCAGUCUGACUCCCUAGAUCAGGGAGAGGCUCAGUCCCUGGGGCCAUACUUGUGGCACCGUUCAGUGGAUGGGAGGAAACGCCACUCUUCAGCAGAGACUGGGCUGGACACACAUGUGCACACACACCUCCUGCACCACAGCGUGCAGGCUUCAGUGGGUAUGUCCCUCAGGCCUGAGGCUGCUGAAUUCCCUCAGGCCAACAGACAGGAGUUGCAAGGUGGCAGGUAUCUGCCACACGGACUUUUUUUGGUACCAGGGAUUGAACCCAGGGGCUCUUAACCACUGAGCCACAUUUCCACCCCCGCUUUAAAUAUUUUAAAGACAGGGUCUCCUGAGUUGCUUAGGGCCUCACCAAUUUGCUGAGGCUGGUUUUGAACUUGGGAUCCUCCUGCCUCAGUCUCCUGAGCUGCUGGGAUUACAGGCAUGUGCCACUGCCCCUGGCUUGGUGACAGCGACAUUGCUUUUCCCACUCUCUCCAUAUCCCUGGAGUGAACUGCCUGACGUGGGUGUUAUAGGGCCUGUCAUGUCCCCAUUUUGCACUGGUGUCCCCAGGCCUGGGCCUGUCCUAUAGCUGACUUUCCUUUGUUGACUGUUGAAGUCCAGGAUGGGGCUGCCAGAGAGAUUAGGGAUUCAGCAGCCUGACCCUCUGGGGGCCGCUCUUUGGGGUGGGAAUAGGACACAAGCAGGACCCAGCUGCAACCCGCUUCCUCACUUAACCACCAAAUGCAGUGGUUUCUUUCUGAAAACAAAAACAAAAGCCCAGCUGAAAAAGAACAGUGACCUCCUACUCAGUUUUUCCGGUCCGACAGGCGUGCACCAAGCACUUUGAGGUCGGUGGCCUGUUACCAUUUCACAGACAGGAAAACGGAGGAUUCGAGGAACUGAGUAAAACCUCAGGGUCACACAGGAAAUUCAACAGGGGGUGAGUGCACGCUGGCUCCAUCAGACUGGGGCUCUCUGGGAGCAUGGCUGUCUCCCCCUGGGGUGUGGAGGAAUUUCUCUAUAGGAGAGGAUUAGAGGAGGAGCUGACCUUGAAUGUGUCCUUCAUAGCGAUCUCACUGAUCUCCUGCAGAGGCCAGGAGGGGGCUGCUGGCCCUGGCUGCCCCUGCUCCUUAUUACCUUAAAGUUAACCCUAAGCUGAGCCCAGGGCUCACCUCAUAGGUAGGUGAGCCACAGUUAGGGACCAUGGUUCUGGGGACAGGGAGGGUGGAGGGAAGGGUAUGAACCAAAGAAGCCAUCCCUUUGGUGACUCUGCUGGAAUCAGUGGGGGAGACUCUUGCUCGGGGUCACCCAGCUGAGCCACGCCAUAGCCACACUGAGCACAAGUGGUCUGGACCCUGCCCCUUCCCAGGAGGAUAGUCUGAGUGAAAGGCACCAUUUGAGGACAUAUGGAAGGGACAGAGUGCAGGGUGGCCCCAGCAAAGCUCGGGACCAGGUGCUUCUUUCUCUGCCCACGCCUUACCAGCAGGAGCUGGGUCAUAUGAUGGGGGUGAGGUGGCAGGUGUAAUGGGAGAUGACAGCCUCCAGGCCAGCCCCUCCACCAUAUUAAGUCUGUGUCCCUAGCUUCACUUCCCCCACCCUCAGGACAGGGAUCCUGCACUGCAGGCCAAGGAGUCAUCCCUGCCGCCCAACCCCACUGUCCUGGGAAAGGGGCAGGGGCCUAAUGAGGUCAGGGCUAGCGGGUGCGGGAACUGAGGAAGUGCAUUUAGUCUUGGGGUGCUAAUGAGCUGCAGAGGAGGUGCUGGGAGGGCUUUAGCACCCUCACACUCUGCCGUCCCCUCCAGCCUCCCACGCACCACCUAGGGCCUCAUAAGGGCACAUGGAGAGUGUGCUCACUGGCAGCUGAGACUCGGGUCUAACUCCCAGCAAAACUUGCACCAGACAGCCCCCGGGGUCCUUGGGAAUCCAACUUCAUCCUUAUAACCUCUCAGGAGCUCACAUCUGCACACCCAGCAGUGAGUGCUGGCAUCCAUGUGGCUUGCACCCCAGUGCCCCCACAGGCACCCACCCACCUGCUUGCCAUGUCCCCUAAAGCGAUGAUUGAAGCAGAGGAGCCCUGGAUGCAGAGUGCAUUCUGGGAGUCCAGGGCCUUUGCACCCCCUACCUAGAUCUAAAGGCACAUUCCCUGGGAUCCCUGCUGGUGGGACUCACCACUCCUGGGGGGCAGGAGCCCCCGGAAGCCCUGCCUCUCCCCCGGGGUGAGGGCGGGGCUGGCCCAGGGUUUAUUAAUAAACUCGCUCCUGACUGGAAAGGCCUCUGCAGAAGCCUCCACCUCAAGCCAAUCAGAGCAGAACUUUCCAGGAAUGUCCCCCCCAAGCAAGCCUGCCUCUGACUCCAGGAUUAUUUCCCACCCCUGACUUCAUCCCCUUGGUGUGUGUGGCUCCUGCCAGGCUCCACUGGCUCUGCGGGCAGGCCUGCUGUCACCUGGCAGCUGACAUCUACCUUGGCCACCGCCCAGAGAAGGUCAUGCCGCACAUGGGUGGUAGGGCCAGGAUUAGAUUUGCUUCCCUGUCAUCCAGGCCUGCUCCUCCCCGCCACGCACACAGAGGCCACUGUGGGGACAGACGAUGCCCUGGACCUCACCCCCACUGGGAGGAAGCUGAGAACCCUGGCCCUGAAGGCAGAGCGCCUGGCUCACUCAGCUUUCUGCUGCUUCCUUGUGACCUUGUGACCUCAAAC